UACGUAGGUGGCGAGCGUUAUCCGGAUUUAUUGGGCGUAAAGCGUGCGCAGGCGGCUUGUUAAGUUUAAGAUUAAAGCCCGGAGCUCAACUCCGGUUAGUCUUAGAUACUGGCAGGCUUGAGUAUGGUAGAGGCAAAUGGAAUUCCUAGUGUAGCGGUGGAAUGCGUAGAUAUUAGGAGGAACACCAGUGGCGAAGGCGGUUUGCUGGGCCAUCACUGACGCUCAUGCACGAAAGCGUGGGGAGCAAAUAGG
rnacentral:rRNA from 1 species